GCCUCCCCAGGAGAGCCCCUCACAAGUGCAGGGACACAAGGAAAGGAGCCCAUUUGCAAUGGCAGCACUGAAGGAGAAGCGGCCCAAAGCUGAGCGCCCUGGGGAGGGUGGCCUCAGAGCGGCCUCCACCAUGAGGCAGAUCUGUCCUUCAACCUCCUGCCUUGGGUCUCAAGGCACAAGGAGAGAUGUCCUACCAUGGUCAGGUGCCACCACCGAACGAGGCGCUGCUCCCUCAAGACCCUGCAGGGCACACCUCCCGACAGCCACAAGGCAUUUGUGCCACUCACCCGUUUUGAAAAUCGUUAUUAGACAAGCAUUGCCAUAUUACAAGACACCCAGACUGACUCCCUCCUGCAUGGUAGGCCUUGGGCAUGAACAAGCAGGGGUGAAACCUGUCAUUUCAAGUGUACAGUGUGCUGGCAAAUAUUCAUGAGCUGCCUCCUAAGUUUAAAAUACCCAUUAGUAAAACCAGAUUGGAAGGAACAACACCCUGCAGGUGGCAAGAUGGAAAUAGGAUGAUGCUAAAAUAAUGCUAGAAGAAAGAGGAAAACUGAAGGACAAGCAAACUGCACUUGCUUGCGUCUCAGGCAGGGAAUAGAUGCUAUUGCUGGACACUUUUCCAUUCUCUCAUCACUUCUUUCCUUGUUGCAGUUAUUUUAUGCCCAUGCUCAGCUCAGGAUUGGGACUUGUCAAGAAUUUAGCACACGCUUGGGAACAACAGAAGUUGCAGUAAUAGAUUGUGCAUUUUAACAGAAAAAAAUUGCAUCUCUGUGUUUUUCUGCUAAGCCAGAAAAACCAUGACUAAGUCUCAAUUUUAAUCUGUUGAAUGGUGCAAGAGGACCUUAGUUGUUUGAAUUUCUGCACCACAUCUGCUUUCCUAGCAGUGGAAAUAUUGAGGUGUAGAGAAUCAGGAUGAUUCAGAACAUGGGAGCAUGCCAUGUUAAAUAUACAAUAGACCUCAAUUUUAGCAGCAUUCAAAUAGGAUGUCGUUUCAUCCUUGCACUAAUUGAAAUCAAUCUGAAGGAGUCAGAGCUUUUGAGAGCUAAAAAUCAUAAUUGCUUUCUUAAAGGCAGCACCCUGUGUAAAAUUAAAUGCACUUUUCCAACAGCUUCACUAAUGCAGCGUUUGAUUGGCCCUUGAGGAUUCCUGGAGAUAUUUGUCAUUCAGCAUGGAAUCAGGUCAGCAGCUAAAAUUAACCACCCAUCUCUCCCCUGUUCAGCACGUAGAAUCACUGCUUUUGGUACUGCUCAGCUUGGGCCUUCCAAAAUGGGUGGGUUCUUACUACGAACCUAAAUUAUGCCUUAACAAGGAAUAUUGAUGGAUACAAUCAUUCCUAUUCUGAAAUGAAACUGUUGGGAAUCAGACUCACAGUCCCUUUGACUCCAGCCUGCAUUGAUUGGUUCUUGGGCAGCCUACCAACCGGGUGCUGCCUCUUACAGCAUCCACUGUUAAUCUGCCUAAGCGAGGCCUGCAAGCCCUACAGAAACUACAAUUUCUCUUCAUUAGUGUGAUUCUGCCUGCAUGAAUCUGAUAACAUAUGGGAUAUUAUCAUAAAACAGCCUAUUUCUCCAAUUCAUUUUCUCUUUUAUGAAGAUUAUGAAAUGUACUGCAAGUGCAUCAGGCAGAAUAAAACUGGAGAUUCUACUAUACAAUUUAUCUUUGAUUCGGUUUCUAAAAUGCAAACAGCCUCACUUUUAAGGUCACAUUUCCCAAUACUACCAUGCUAAUACAUUAUGAAAACUGCUGACUCUCUCUUCUGUUUCCUCCAGUUCACUACAGGCCUGAUGUAUAACACAAGUCACUUGGCCCAAGGAUGGGAGUUUAAUGUUCAGAGCCAGCAGAUGCAGUACGAUGGAAAAAACCUGGAGGGCUUCCUCAUGAUAAUGAACUUCCUGAGAUGUACAUGCUCGAUCAGCUCAGUACAGGAAUUUGGAGACCUGGCCGGGGUAAGGAACACACACUCUGGCACAGAUGCCCACCCCACUUGGUUGUCAUCAUACCCAGAAUGCACAGGGGAAAUCAUGCAUAGGCAAAGCGUAUGGUGAGUCGAGUGAAGCUUUACCUCCCCUAGUUAGUCAUUACCUAAAGCAGGGGUGCAUUGGAGGGAGUAAAAAGCCUUUAACAAUAACUCUUUGCCCUUCUGUUUAAGCAUUCCUGGACAAACAACAGUCAUUUUUCUGCUUUAACCUCGUCUAAUGUAAGGAGGGGGUGGUAUAGCUGUUGGAAUGAGAUUAUCAAGCUUGUUAUGGAUCUAGCUGGAGGAGGAUAAAUAUCAUUAACUUGAGAGUAGCAUCCAGUAUUGAUAAAGACACUUCAAGGAGUCAGCUUUUGUGAUCAACCUGUAAGUCUGCCAGCUGAAAGGAAAGUAAGCUCCUUAUGAUCAGUCCCCAUAUUUUUCCUUACAAAAAGGUAGUGUGGAAUUCAGGAAUGAAAUGAAUCAUGAACUGAGAGAAGCUGGCUUAAGGAGAUAACCUGCCUUUCUUCCUGAGCUGCUGCAAGAGGAGGAUGUUUAUGCCUACACUGCCAGUUAAAGCCUGGGAGUUUGGUAGAGGGGUUUUCACUCCUCCCAAAAAAACGGGUUAUAAGGUUGGGGCCUGCCACACUGACAUCUUCUCUCCUUCAGGUGUCUUGAUCUGUUAGCAUAAAUAUACUCAAGUGUUUGGUUUUUAUUCUCUGUUGAAGCCAGAACAAUAAGAGAAAUAAGAACUUCAUUUCCUUUGAAUAGAUCUGGUUCAUAUCAGGCUUUAAAUCUGGAGUAAGCUCUUAUUCUGAGUUUGAUAUGAACUUAAUAUACAGCACUGGCUAUUGUAUGUUGUCUUCCUAUU